rnacentral:antisense_RNA from 1 species
AGGAGGAGCGUUUGCGGACUCAGCGUCUGUCAACAGAACCCUCUUCACCCGUGGUUAAACCCUCCCUAACCCUGAGCUCGUGCUCCCCUCCCGGUGGACGCAGACCUGACCAUAGAAGCCCUGCAGCACUCACUGGGGGCUUGAGGGAGCCCCUGAAUCCCCUCCACCCUCGCCGCCUUCUCCUGGGUACCCAGGAAACAUCUCCAAGGGAGGCUGUGACCCAGGACCCCGCCUCGACCUCACCUUCUUCUGUAAGGCGCAGUGAAAGACGAAGAUGAAGACCCCCUGGAAGGCGUUGAAGGUGGUGAAGAGAUAGGCCAUGACCACCGACUCCUUGUUGAUGAAGAGGAGGCCGAAAGCCCAGGUGAGGCCCAGCAGGAACAGCAGCGCGAUGGCCCCCAGCGCCCAGGAUCUGGGAGUGGGGCGACAGGGGAGUCAAAGUACCCGCCGGAGGGGACGGCCUCAGCCCAGGCCUCCCCUGCAGCCUACAAGGGGGGCCCUUGGGUGGGCCUGGGCACUGUCUGCAAAGCCCUGAGCGGGCCGAGUGGGCCUUGGGGGCAGUGGCCUGCCCAGGACACCUCCACCCGAGCCUGGGCCUGAGGGAAAGGUACUGGGUCAGGGGUCAGGGUAUUGUGAACAUCAGUUAUUCCUCUGCCAACUUCAUUGUUUCUGCUAAAUUUCCAGAC